rnacentral:rRNA from 1 species
AUUGAACGCUAGCGGGAUGCUUUACACAUGCAAGUCGAACGGCAGCGCGAGAGAGCUUGCUCUCUUGGCGGCGAGUGGCGGACGGGUGAGUAAUAUAUCGGAACGUGCCCAGUAGCGGGGGAUAACUACUCGAAAGAGUGGCUAAUACCGCAUACGCCCUACGGGGGAAAGGGGGGGAUCGCAAGACCUCUCACUAUUGGAGCGGCCGAUAUCGGAUUAGCUAGUUGGUGGGGUAAAGGCUCACCAAGGCAACGAUCCGUAGCUGGUUUGAGAGGACGACCAGCCACACUGGGACUGAGACACGGCCCAGACUCCUACGGGAGGCAGCAGUGGGGAAUUUUGGACAAUGGGGGAAACCCUGAUCCAGCCAUCCCGCGUGUAUGAUGAAGGCCUUCGGGUUGUAAAGUACUUUUGGCAGAGAAGAAAAGGUAUCCCCUAAUACGGGAUACUGCUGACGG